GUCUCUAAAAUAAUCCAGUAUCAGUGAAGAUCAUUCCUGACUCCAACUGACCUCCAGGACCAGCACAGGGUGAUAAUUCGGAUCUGUUUAAAGACCUGGAUUCAGGUUAAUCUUUAGUGUAGUAAUUACUGGCUCUGGUGAAUGUUUGGAGAUGGGCCAGGAAACAGUCAAAACCAAAACAGGAUACUGCGAGUCUUCCAGGAACAGUUAUCAUUUGGCUACAGAGGGACACGAAGGGUGACGUCCAACCUUCAACUUACAGUGAAUGGAUUUUAGACCAAUCGCUGACCAGGAGAGAUAUGGGAGGUUUGUGUAUUUCAUAUUACAAGCCACAAGCUGUCCUCCUUUGUGAACAAGUUUAACAUGCUUCUGUAUUGUCAGAGAUUUAGUGCUGCUGCAUUCUUCAUUAAAGUGUUUCUCUUUUGAGAGUUGCAGAUCUGGAUGGAUUCCAAGUAAAACAACAUUAACAAACAGAACAUGAGGUUGAGAAACAGGACAUCGCAUGAAAUACCUCUACAGGACUUUUGGAGCAGGACUUGUGUAAGAGCUGAUAAUGGAAACAACCAAGGGCCAAGAGAUUAAAGGAUUAGGAACUGGACACCAGGCAAUGUGAUCGUUACACAGCGGCGGGUGAAGAUCAGUCUCAGUUCCUUGCAAGUUUUGAUGAAAAGUCUCCGCUGUGGUGCCAUGGUCCUCCUUCCUGAUAUGAGCUGUGGAGGUCAGUGCCAAUAAACUACAGCUGAGAUGUGUACUGUAUGCUGUGUUGCAAAUAAUAUAAGGGGAGAUUAUUUGUACUGUAUAUAUUUAUGCUUUAUGGCUGUAUAUGCUGUAAAAAUCAGAAUUCUACUUUGCUGAAGCUCUCAUAAAGAUAGAGAAUAGUGCAGCUCAUAAUGAAAAAUCAU